GUCAUUCCGCUGGAUGUUCACGCUCACAACGGGGAUGUGAAGCACAAGCUCCAUGAUGCUGUGGCGUGACCACGGGGCUCAAGGCGCUCGUCCAAGUUGUAGAGCUGCAGACAACGAUGGUUCUCUGUCGCUCGCCGAUAACGCAUUGGCUGCCACGCUUGUGUAGCCAGCAGCUCCCCAGCUGGGCUUUUAUGAUCAGCUUGGUGAUCUUACCGUUCCCGAACGCUCUGUGAACUGGCGCUCGAGGAUUACAUGGACGUCUCGCCUCUCAAACUGUGAACCUGCAUUACCACCGACCAAGCCGAGCUUCCGAGCAGGCCAACGUUUGAGCAGCAAAGUCCAGGACCCUAGGUCACGACCAGAAGGCACACCUGCAGAAUCUUGCAAAAUGCAUGAGCUCCAUACCUCCAAAUUUUGCCUCCCAUGCGGGCUCCAGGAUCAAGUCACAGUGUUCUUCCUGAGAAGAGAAGCUAGGCCUCACAGAUCCCUAUGUUCAACUCGCAGCACUCACUACUGUGCCUCUACCACAUGAGCUGGGUUCAAACUUCCAUGUCUUUUAGUUUGUAUUAUCGCACAGGCUACAGUUUUUACC